rnacentral:rRNA from 1 species
UACAGAGGGUGCGAGCGUUAAUCGGAAUUACUGGGCGUAAAGCGCACGUAGGUGGCGACGUAAGUCGGGUGUGAAAGCCCCGGGCUCAACCUGGGAAUUGCAUUCGAGACUGCAUUGCUGGAGUACGGAAGAGGAAGGCGGAAUUCCCGGUGUAGAGGUGAAAUUCGUAGAUAUCGGGAGGAACACCGGUGGCGAAGGCGGCGACCUGGGUCGAUACUGACGCUGAGGCGCGAAAGCGUGGGGAGCAAACAGG